rnacentral:rRNA from 1 species
ACGGCUCAGUAACACGUGGAUAACCUGCCCUGGGUCCGGCAUAACCCCGGGAAACUGGGGAUAAUUCCGGAUAACGCACAUAUGCUGGAAUGCUUUAUGCGUCAAAUGGAUUCGUCUGCCCAAGGAUGGGUCUGCGGCCUAUCAGGUAGUAGUGGGUGUAAUGUACCUACUAGCCUACGACGGGUACGGGUUGUGAGAGCAAGAGCCCGGAGAUGGAUUCUGAGACAUGAAUCCAGGCCCUACGGGGCGCAGCAGGCGCGAAAACUUUACAAUGCGGGAAACCGUGAUAAGGGGACACCGAGUGCCAGCAUCAUAUGCUGGCUGUCCGGGUGUGUAAACUACACCUGUUAGCAAGGGCCGGGCAAGACCGGUGCCAKCCGCCGCGGUAACACCGGCGGCCCGAGUGGUGAUCGUGAUUAUUGGGUCUAAAGGGUCCGUAGCCGGCUUGGUCAGUCCUCCGGGAAAUCUGACAGCUCAACUGUUAGGCUUUCGGAGGAUACUGCCAGACUUGGAACCGGGAGAGGUAAGAGGUACUACAGGGGUAGGAGUGAAAUCUUGUAAUCCCUGUGGGACCACCUGUGGCGAAGGCGUCUUACCAGAACGGGUUCGACGGUGAGGGACGAAAGCUGGGGGCACGAACCGGAUUAGAUACCCGGGUAGUCCCAGCCGUAAACGAUGCUCGCUAGGUGUCAGGCAUGGCGCGACCGUGUCUGGUGCCGCAGGGAAGCCGUGAAGCGAGCCACCUGGGAAGUACGGCCGCAAGGCUGAAACUUAAAGGAAUUGGCGGGGGAGCAC